rnacentral:rRNA from 1 species
GACGAACGCUGGCGGCGUGGAUUAGGCAUGCAAGUCGAACGGUAUCAUCCUUUCGGGGGUGAGAGAGUGGCGAACUGGUGAGUAACACGUAGGUUAUCUACCCUCAAGACGGGGACAACCCAGGGAAACUUGGGCUAAUACCGGAUGUGAGCAACUUUUAGUUGUUUGAAAGGUGGCGUAAGCUGUCGCUUGGGGAUGAGCCUGCGUCCUAUUAGUUAGUUGGUGAGGUAACGGCUCACCUAGGCAAUGAUAGGUAGGCGGCCUUAACGGGUGGUCGCCCACACUGGGAUUGAGAUACGGCCCAGACUCCUACGGGAGGCAGCAGUCGAGAAUAGUCUACAAUGGUCGGAAGACUGAUAGUGCGACGCCGCGUGAACGAUGAAUCCCUUCGGGGUUAAAGUUCUUUUAUAUGUGAGCAGUGCUUCUUAUAUUAACAGUAUGGGGAAGAGAUAUUAGCAUAUGAAAUAAGCAACGGCUAAACUCCGUGCCAGCAGCCGCGGUAAUA